CACAAUGAUCAUUCGUCCCCCUAGAGGGUUCCAACCACCCUAGCUGGCUCAUGUACGACAGGACUCGGAGGACCCGGUUUUUUGAGACUGCACCCAGAGAGAUGGAAAGAGAGGGAGAGAAGAAUGUUCUGAUGUUGCAGGAAAUGAAAGAAGAUGCUCUCAAUAUUCACUCAAAAUGAGGUUACUUUUCACAGAUAACAUUUACUGAAUCAAUGCACAUUUGUAUUUAAUCUUCUCUUUCAAAAUAAAUAAAUAAAUAUAGGUACCUGAAGUUCCGUUUGAAAGAAGAACUUCUGUGGGCACUGGGAACAAUCGUAAAUUUUGUCCUCUUGCCCAUGGACAGCAAAGAUAUGUUGCUGCAAUUUAUUUGCCUGUACAAAAACUGGAA